GGGAGAGAUGGCUGAGUGGUUGAAAGCGGUAGAUUGCUAAUCUGUUAUAUGAUUUUAAUAUCAUAUCGAGGGUUCGAAUCCCUUUCUCUCCUU
rnacentral:tRNA from 1 species